rnacentral:rRNA from 1 species
UACGAAGGGGGCUAGCGUUGCUCGGAAUCACUGGGCGUAAAGCGCACGUAGGCGGCUUUCUAAGUCAGGGGUGAAAUCCUGGAGCUCAACUCCAGAACUGCCUUUGAUACUGGAAAGCUUGAGUUCGGGAGAGGUGAGUGGAACUGCGAGUGUAGAGGCGAAAUUCGUAGAUAUUCGCAAGAACACCAGUGGCGAAGGCGGCUCACUGGCCCGGUACUGACGCUGAGGUGCGAAAGCGUGGGGAGCAAACAGG